UACGUAGGGGGCAAGCGUUGGCCGGAUUUACUGGGCGUAAAGAGCGCGCAGGCGGUCGUUCAAGUCGCGUGUGAAAGCCCCCGGCUCAACUGGGGAGGGUCACGCGAUACUGAUCGACUCGAAGGCAGGAGAGGGUAGUGGAAUUCCCGGUGUAGUGGUGAAAUGCGUAGAUAUCGGGAGGAACACCAGUGGCGAAGGCGACUACCUGGCCUGUUCUUGACGCUGAGGCGCGAAAGCUAGGGGAGCAAACGGG
rnacentral:rRNA from 1 species